GGACUGGUAGCUCAGUGGAAGAGCAUCUGUAUUGGCAAUCAGAAGGUCCCGGGUUCGAAUCCCGAUCAAUCCA
rnacentral:tRNA from 1 species